rnacentral:rRNA from 1 species
GGCCUGGCUGGGUGGUCUGCUGAAAGGCAUGUACUGUCUGGCUGGGUCUUACCUCUUGGUGAGCCUAUGUGCCCUUUAUUGGCGUGCAUGGGGGAACCAGGACUUUUACCUUGAGAAAAUUUGAGUGUUCAAAGCAGGCUUAUGCCCGAAUACAUUAGCAUGGAAUAAUAAAAUAGGACGUGCAAUUCUAUUUUGUUGGUUUCUAGAGUCGCCGUA